UACGGGGGGAGCAAGCGUUGUUCGGAUUUACUGGGCGUAAAGGGCGCGUAGGCGGUCGUGACAAGUCACUUGUGAAAUCUCCGGGCUUAACUCGGAACGGUCAAGUGAUACUGUCGGACUAGAGUACAGAAGGGGCAACUGGAAUUCUCGGUGUAGCGGUGAAAUGCGUAGAUAUCGAGAGGAACACCUGCGGCGAAGGCGGUUGCCUGGAGCUUUGCUGACGCUGAGGCGCGAAAGCGUGGGGAGCGAUCCGG
rnacentral:rRNA from 1 species